rnacentral:rRNA from 1 species
GACGAACGCUGGCGGCGUGCUUAACACAUGCAAGUCGAACGGAAAGGCCCUGCUUUUGUGGGGUGCUCGAGUGGCGAACGGGUGAGUAACACGUGAGUAACCUGCCCUUGACUUUGGGAUAACUUCAGGAAACUGGGGCUAAUACCGGAUAGGAGCUCCUGCUGCAUGGUGGGGGUUGGAAAGUUUCGGCGGUUGGGGAUGGACUCGCGGCUUAUCAGCUUGUUGGUGGGGUAGUGGCUUACCAAGGCCUUGACGGGUAGCCGGCCUGAGAGGGUGACCGGCCACAUUGGGCCUGAGAUACGGCCCAGCCUCCUACGGGAGGCAGCAGUGGGGAAUAUUGCACAAUGGGCGGAAGCCUGAUGCAGCAACGCCGCGUGCGGGAUGACGGCCUUCGGGUUGUAAACCGCUUUCGCCUGUGACGAAGCGUGAGUGACGGUAAUGGGUAAAGAAGCACCGGCUAACUACGUG